rnacentral:rRNA from 1 species
GUAGGGAAUAUUGCACAAUGGAGGAAACUCUGAUGCAGCGACGCCGCGUGAGUGAUGAAGGCCUUCGGGUCGUAAAGCUCUGUCGCAGGGGAAUAACACAAUGAAGGUACCCUGUAAGAAAGGAUCGGCUAACUUCGUGCCAGCAGCCGCGGUAAGACGAGGGAUCCUAGCGUUGUUCGGAAUCAUUGGGCGUAAAGCGGAUGUAGGUGGCUAUGUAAGUCAGAUGUGAAAGCCUGGGGCUCAACCCCGGAAGUGCAUUUGAUACUGCGUAGCUUGAGUGUCGGAGAGGUUACUAGAAUUGUUGGUGUAGUGGUGAAAUACGUAGAUAUCAACAGGAAUACCGGAGGCGAAGGCGGGUAACUGGCCGAACACUGACACUGAGAUCCGAAAGCGUGGGGAUCAAACAGGAUUAGAUACCCGGGUAGUCC